AAAGAUAAGCGCUUCUUCUUACAACCAUGACUCACUAAUCCAAUAUGUCACUCAUAUACCCCUAUGUGGCCUCUCUCUCAUCCUAUCCAAACCUUCUUCCUCAACCACAUGCUUUGAGGUGUUGUACCUUUGCCCAAGACUUUUAUAUGCAAUGCAAUCCUCCUUUUUUUUUUUUUUAAGAAAACAUACAAAUUGAUAAACAAAUACUAAUUUUAAAACUUGUACGAAAGUUGAUAUAUUUGAUUUUACACGUUAACCAUUUUAUGAUUAGACUAACACACUUAUGCACAAUUUUCAUUUUUUAUUGACAAUUACUUCUGACGGUCG
rnacentral:lncRNA from 1 species